GGGUUAUAAAAUAUGUCAGACUCAAGUCUACAGAAACCAGGUGUCUUAAAGACAAGUUGUGCAGAACAAAGACAGUUAAUUAACUCUGACCUGCUGGUCACCCCUUAUGAACUGACCAAUAGCAGAUAGAUAAGAUGUCCACCGCUCCGCACUAACUGUAAUGAUUGGCUUCUGUAAUAAAUGCUUACAUUGCAGUUUUUCCCCCUUAAAAACACCAGCCCUGCCCCAACUCAGGGUUCUCCGGUUCCACCUGUUUGGAGGACCCCGUGUACACGGAAUAAUAAAAACCCCUUUGUUUUUACAUGAGAGCGAGGCCCUUGGAGUCUUCCUUGCGACACCGGUCUAACACAUUGUGUUAGAAUAAAAUUUCUCUAAGCCCUAGUGAAGUGUUGUCAGCCUGGAACUAAAAGGAUGACUGGUCUGAUGAGACUGGACUAGCCACUCUAGUACUGCUGACCCAAGUCUGUCUCCUUGGUUGCCUUGGCUUACCCCAUCCAGAGAGCUCGCUUUAUAGAUCCCUGGACAAGAGCAGCAGACAAGGCUCAGAAGACAGAGCAUUCAGUAGACACCGGGCUUCUUUCACAAAUCAGCAUGCUAAUGAGCACCGUUUUUGGAUGGGAGAUCAUGUAGACAGUCUUGCUAUAGACGUAGCAAGGCCUCCAGGGUCACUCUAAUGGUACCGGUUUUGUGAAACGCUCUACCCCAUCAUGGGUUUGCUCAUCCAUGGGAACACUUUAGAAACAUGUUUAAGGGGCCAUGCAUCAAAAUAUGACUUUGUUUGAUCAUUUUUAUGCCUACAUUUUGUAAUCUGAGCAACUACUUUGAGAAUAAAAAUAUGCAGUAUGGAAACCAUUGUUAAUCUCCUAUAGUGUUGACUUGAAAUUCUGUACCUUUUAAUUUUUUCUGUUUCUUUUUUUAAUUUAAAAAGUUUAAAAAUAUAUAUAACUCUGGACCUAGAUGCUUUACAAAAAGAAGUAUUGUAUAUAGUUCAACAAACUCAAAAUUUUGGUAAAAAAAAUACAGGAUUGGGAUAAAUUUUUUGAUGCCCUCAAUCUGCUGUAUCCUUUUAAAUAUCUCCAGGCUUGGGGAUGACAGUACACAAUGUAUGUAUCAUUGUUGCCCAGAUUGACAUGUUUUAAAAUUUUGUGGUAGCUUUCUUCUUUUUUUCACUUUUUAUCUUUGAAAUAAAAUGGACUUGAAAAAUGAAAAUAAAAAAUAAAAUAAAAUUACUGAUGAAAAAAAUA